AGCUCAGACCCUUCGGGGCCUGCCCUGACAUGAGCUCUGCCUUCCUAGACUAGACUCUGUCCGUCUCCCAUCAGAUAGGGAGCUUCCACCAGGCAGGGGCUGGACAUGUUAGGAAAAGAGAGGCUUGGAUGGAUAACUUUUCUUUGUAAAAAUUGCAUUAUGCGGAACCAACCAUAUUCUCUGGAGCUCUCAGGUAAUUUCUAUGGCAGUCCCCCUGACUCCACAUUGCUUUGGAGAUUCUGUAUACUUUACUAAGGAAUCACUGACUCCUCUGAAAGGUUUUCAAAUAAAACCUGUCACUAUCACUCUAAGCAGAGGUCACUAAUUACUAGUCCUCCUGGGGCCAAUAGUGGGGCGUUGAUUUGAUCAAACACUAUGCUUCUCAUAGUGAUGAAUUUAAGUACUUUGGAUGUAGUAUGCAAGCUGCAGUUAGCUGAAGCUCCCACCACUGCCAUCUUCCUAAAUCCAAGUGCAUUUAAUCUCCCUGGUACCUGAAGGCAUGUGAGUUUGUGAUCACUCCAAAGUGUUAGAACAGGGUCAGAUGUGGUGGCUCACGCCUAUAAUCCCAGCACUUUGAGAGGCCGAGGCAGGCAGAUCACGAGGUCAGGAGAUCGAGACCAUCCUGGCUAACGUGGUGAAACCCCGUCUCUACUAAAAAUACAAAAAAUUAGCCGGGCGUAGUGGCACGUACCUGUACUCCCAGCUACUCAGGAGGCUGAGGCAGGAGAAUCUCUUGAACCUGGGAGGUGGCGGUUGCAGUGAGCCCAGAUCACGCCACUGCACUCCAGCCUGGGUGACAGAGUGAGACUUUGUCUUAAAUAAAUAAAUAAAUAAAUAAAGUUAAAUUAGGCUGGGUGCGGUGGCUCAUGCCUGUAAUCCUAGCACUUUUGGAGGCCGAGGCAGGCACUUCACGAAGUCAAGAGAUCAAGACCAUCCUGGCCAACAUGGUGAAACCCCAUCUCUACUAAAA
rnacentral:lncRNA from 1 species